rnacentral:misc_RNA from 1 species
GAAGAAUUCUGGUGCUAUCAGUAGUGAAGGAGCAAUAUGUGUCCUUCCAAAUACUCUCGAGAGCCGUCGUCUUGAUGUCCAGGGUAACAUUUAUGCAUUUGGAGUACUACUACUGGAAAUAAUCAGUGGGAGACCUCCAUAUUGCAAAGACAAAGGGUGCUUAGUAGAUUGGGCUAAGGAAUUUCUUGAAAUGCCGGAGGUAUUAUCCUACGUUGUGGAUCCCGAGUUGAAACAUUUCA